CUACGGGGCGCAGCAGUGAGGAAUAUUGCACAAUGGAGGAAACUCUGAUGCAGCAACGCCGCGUGGAGGAUGACGCAUUUCGGUGUGUAAACUCCUUUUAUAUGUCAAGAAAAUGACGGUAGCAUAUGAAUAAGCUCCGGCUAACUCCGUGCCAGCAGCCGCGGUAAUACGGAGGGAGCAAGCGUUACUCGGAAUCACUGGGCGUAAAGGACGCGUAGGCGGGAUAGAAAGUCAGGUGUGAAAUCCUAUGGCUCAACCAUAGAACUGCACUUGAAACUUCUAACCUAGAGUAUGGGAGGGGAAGAUGGAAUUAGUGGUGUAGGGGUAAAAUCCGUAGAUAUCACUAGGAAUACCAAAAGCGAAGGCGAUCUUCUGGAACAAUACUGACGCUAAGGCGUGAAAGCGUGGGGAGCAAACAGGAUUAGAUACCCGAGUAGUC
rnacentral:rRNA from 1 species